rnacentral:tRNA from 1 species
GGAGGCCAGCUCAGUGGUAGAGCACAUGCUUAGCAUGCAAGAGGUUCUGGGUUCGAUCUCCCAGGAUCUCCA